AAUAAUUAAAUAAAUAAACGAAUAAUCUUAGAAUUUUUCUCAUCAUUCGACUUUCAGCUGAAGACAUGAAGCACCACGCGCGGUGUUAUGCCUUUUAACUUACUGCUUAGUUACCUUCAAUUUAUUUCGUGUCAAAAAAGUAUUCACAGCUUAAUACGUGCUGUGAUUUGUAGAGUAGCACAAAAAAAUUUGUUUUGUUUCAAUUUUCUCUGUCAUUAUAAAUCCCGCUGCUUUUGAAUAUUAUCGAGGGGAAAAAAGUAACAAAAAUUGUGGUGAAAACUGAUGAAUUGUGGUGCUGGAGCGUGUCGCUAAGCAGCUUAGUGGAAGCGUAAACUUUUACUGCAAACGUAUGUGUGGGCACCAAGUGCAAUGAAGCAAAACACGGUCCGCUAAGACGAUUAUGGUUGAAUCAACAAUUAUGCGGUUGUCGUUGUUGUUGUUGCUGUUUAAGGGGAAUUGGAGAAAAUAGAGCUAUUUACUGUUGCUGCUUUAGAUGACAAAUGCUUGAUAUAUUUCCUCUUCCGUAUGAACAUCGAUUUGCAAGAAAUACUACGAAAAAAAUAUAUAGAGCUUUCACUAGAUAAAUAUCCAAAUGGGGCAAACACUUGCUUGCGAGUAUUUGCUAUGCAAAACUGUGUGCAUCAACAACAACAACAAUUAUUCACAAAAAAUUGAACAAGUGAAAAAUGAACUAGAACAUACGAUUUUGAAUUGUGACAUCAAGCAGAAAAGCUUCCGCCGCAAUCUGAACUCACCACAACAUUUCCAAUGAGAACCAUUGAAAUGUGAACGCUGAGAAAGAUAACUAUUGGCAAAAUAUACCCAGCAAACCAACCAUAAGUGUCAAAUGAAAUUCUUUAUCGAUGCAUCAGCAACAACACGUAAAUUAAUCAUUUAUAAUC